UUACACAGGACCCGAAAAUGCUGACUGGGAACAAGUGAGCAGUGCCUUGCUCUGUGUUUGCACAGCUAUGAGCAACAAAAUCAAACUGUAGGUUUACUUGGGUAAAGAAAUGAUCAUGAGUGUGUUGCAACACACUAGUCCUACACAAACAAGUGGAAGUAGAAUUUUUUUGUGUGAACUUUUAGAUGAAAUGGUGAUUUCAAUUAAAGAAAGUCAGCAUUUUAAAGCCUUCUGCAUAACACUUUUUUAUUCAGGGUAAAUUAGUCAUACUAAAUAGUUGUUAUGCUGUAUAUUGAUUGGUAUUUACUAAGGCUAUAAAAAUAAUGAAAAGAUUGAACUGGUAUUAGUUUUAAACGGCGAACCAAGUAUAAUUCUGUAUCUGUAUGAAAGUAUGAAACUCUAUGCUAUGUACAAUUUAAACGUCAGUUUUCCGUAUAGCGGUAUUGCCAAAGGGCAUUACAAUAUAUUACAGAAAAAAUAACACUACAACAGUCCUUAUAUCGACUAAAGAGAAAAACUCAACAAUACAAAGGCUUAUAUAUCCAUCAUAGAACUGCAAAAAUAAAAUAUAUGCACACAGCACACUGAUCAGUGUAUUCAUCCACCUAGCUACUCCUAUUGCUCUCGUAUGCCACCUUGCUGUUAAGGUAUCUCAAUGGUAUCUGGUAUGUACUUAUUAGGCACUCAGUCUAAACAAUGUGUACUUUAGUGGUCUACAUACCAAACGUACAAUACAAUAGGCACUGAACUUCACAGUUCUGAAAAAGUAAACUUUAAAGACAAAAAAAAUGCUGACACUGUAUCCAUGAGUUUAGUGUGUAUUGUUCACAGAUAGAAAAGUGCAGCCGAGUUUGUUGCAGACAAGUCCUUGGACACAAACAAGAUUCAGAAUAUUAUUAAAAAGUACAAUGAGGGGAAAAAAUAGUAAACAUGCUAAUAUUUUCCACAGCUACAGACAGAUGUAUCUUGUAUCUUAGAAACAAAACAAAGAUGCUUUUUUCAAUCUUAAAUGAAUGUCUUUGUGUUUUAUUUGGUAGGCUAUCAUCUUAUUAAAUAUGUUUGGGUUUAUGGUUGGGGUAAAAAAUAUCAAUUUUAUCUUUAACAAUGAUAUUAAAUUAUAAACAGCUUGAAGCAGGCUUCUCUUAACAUGUUGAGAAGUUUACAGAGCUGUGAUAUUGAUAUGUCAAAGAUUCGUAGAUUGAUAUAGCUGCAGGAACUUUACAUGGAAAUGGGUGUAAUAGCCAAACCAAAAUCAUUCAAGUCAACAUCAACAUGCUAUGUGCUGGUAAUACUGCCACUGGUGACCAGUGAAAAUUUUGGUCUUAAAAUGUUCCUUACGUCUUCCUGAUACCCACUGUAUAAUUUUUUUUCGAAAAAAAUCGGGCGUUCGUGUCGAAAAUUAACUUUGAAAAUGCUCGAAAACGUGCUUCGCCACCGUAAUUCGCCUGACUUGCAUAACGUUAACGAUUUAUUACAUCACAGUAGUGACAUAUUUCGUUUGUACAGCACGUUAUAAUCUUGUUUUCACACUGUUUUUUGCUAGGGAAAAUCCCAAGC